UAUGUAGGUGUCCUGAUGAGUCGAAUGUGAAAUCCCUUGGCUUAACCAAGGAACUGCAUUCGAUACUGUCAGGAUUGAGUAUGGAAGAGGAGAGUGGAAUUCCCGGUGUAAGGGUGAAAUCUGUAGAUAUCGGGAGGAACACCAGUGGCGAAAGCGGCUCUCUGGUCCAAUACUGACACUGAAAUACGAAAGCAAGGGGAGCAAACAGGAUUAGAUACCCUGGUAGUCC
rnacentral:rRNA from 1 species